GACGAACGCUGGCGGCGUGCUUAACACAUGCAAGUCGAACGGAAAGGCCCUGCUUUUGUGGGGUGCUCGAGUGGCGAACGGGUGAGUAACACGUGAGUAACCUGCCCUUGACUUUGGGAUAACUUCAGGAAACUGGGGCUAAUACCGGAUAGGAGCUCCUGCUGCAUGGUGGGGGUUGGAAAGUUUCGGCGGUUGGGGAUGGACUCGCGGCUUAUCAGCUUGUUGGUGGGGUAGUGGCUUACCAAGGCUUUGACGGGUAGCCGGCCUGAGAGGGUGACCGGCCACAGUGGGACUGAGAUACGGCGCAGACUCCUACGGGAGGCAGCAGUGGGGAAUAUUGCACAAUGGGCGGAAGCCUGAGGCAGCAACGCCGCGUGCGGGAUGACGGCCUUCGGGCUGUAAACCGCUUUCGCCUGUGACGAAGCGUGAGUGACGGUAAUGGGUAAAGAAGCACCGGCUAACUACGUG
rnacentral:rRNA from 1 species